UCUUCCUUGGUCUAGUGGUCAUGAUUUCCGCUUGUCAUCGAACCCGGUUACGAGCGCGGGAGACCGGGGUUCGAUUCCCCGAGGGAGAG